CUUUCUCCUGAUUUCCUACUAUUGCAGGACAUAUGGGUCAGGGGAAAGAACUCCUGUUUCACUUUUUCUUGAUGUGAUUAGACAGCCAGACUGUGGUGCAUUGCCAAAGUUAAGUGGCUCUCCUGUAUCUGUCUGCAAAACAAGCCUAUUCUCAGAUGUGGGCCACAUCCUGGUCCCUCAACAUCAGCCAUAAAACCAACUAUAUGCCCUAAAGGUGCUCAGAAAUGUGUGCUGUGUUUGGGGCCCCCUGUGUGAGACCGCCUGAAUGCAAGUUUAAGUUUGAAGCUCCCCAGACCAACCAGAGGAAGAGAACAUGGGCUGCGACUCAAUGCUGGCUUGCUUCUGGUUUGCUUUGACCCUAAAGCUGAAGACCGUUGGUAUCUGAGCUUUACAUUUGAGUGGGGAUAUAGCAGACUUUUCUCCUUGGGUGGAGUCUGGACUUAGACUUGUGUUUCCCUUGCCCUGGGAUUCUGCUUUUCAUCUGCUCUCUCUGGAUCAGCAAAUGCCCUCACAGCAAAAGUUUUAAAGAUUUUUUUCCUAUUUCAUGUGGCUUUUUCACUUGUUCUGAGCAAGAGGGUUUGUCCAAAUUGUCUUUCCAUUACUGGAAGCAGAAGAUUCCAAUUGAAAAAUGUUUUAGGUCCCAAAUUGCAGUAUUUAUCUCAUCAGUAGGAGGGUAAUAACAAUAAUAACAACAACAACAAUAAUAAUAUGAACCCACUCUUUUCUUAUAACUAUUAAGCAAGAUAAAGAUUGUAAAAAAAAUAUUGUCAUUUUUUUCACUAUAGUGGCAUUUAAGUUAUUUUUCAGAAACAGACUCUAAAUUGAAGUCACUAUAAGGUCUCUAACAAAAACCACAAAUAAUAUGCUCAAGCUCUCCUUUUCUGUUUACUUUAAGGAUUUGCUCUGUUUCAGACUUCUCAAAUAGUGAGAAAUGUUUUCUUAACAAAAGAACUCAAUUUUACCACCAUAAAUAAAUGAACAGAGUAGAAAAGAUUUCCAAGUGAUAACUGAAAAUAUACACUUCCCACAUGAAGGGAGUGAUUUUUCAUUCUGUUUAUGAGAAUGGCUCAAACUUCAUGAUUUAAUUUUGCCUUUUUCUUAAAAAUAAAAACAAGUCCAGUGGAAUCCCAAAGUAGCAGAAAUACCUUGUUAAAAAUCUUUAAAUUACUCCAAAAGCCAGUGAGCCCAUGAAAAUAAGCUCAACUCUGAAAACUCUGAAAAUGGUUCAGUUUAUUCCCAAAACCUGCCUAGGAAAGAAGUGAGAACUGGAUCUGUUUAAUUUCAAGUCUAAAAACAUACCCCAUUUUAUUGAGUUUAUGACACCAUUAAGCUGCAGAUUAGGGGAACCAAAAUAACAAAAUUACAAAUCAUGCUUUGCACCUAACUGAAAGCAGAUGAAAUUUCUCCAAAUUCAUCAGUUACCCCAUAAAGGAUCCUAAUCUGAGACCCACGGAGACUUUCUCCAUACCAAAAUAUGAUGGUGAUUUUAUAUUGAAGCAACUGUGAUUUCCAAGAAAUACAUACCAUGCAUGGUCCAAAGCCUAGCCACUUUCAAUUGUAUCAAAGCACUUAUUUUUUUUAUAUGUCCUCAAUACAUUUAGGUUGCUGGCUCUGGAUUCAUUUCGAUUGCUCAUGGCACUGCUUUCAGUCUGUUGCUAAAAUGUUGUGUCACCAUUUGUUGUGAACAGUUAGAGACCAAGAAACCUCCAGGCAAAACUCUCUUUCGAAACCUAGAUUAGCUGCUAAGAGAUCUUGAUUCACUUACAAUGUCAAAAAAAAAGAACAACAAAACCAAAGUUUUCUAUCACUUUAAAGUGAACAAUUAUGUUAAAGAUAAUUUUAUUGACAGGAUAAAGGCUUUCAUGUGUAUUCUCAACCCUUUUUAACAUCUUCCAAACCUGUUCACGGACUCUCAUUUGCCAUCUCUCUCCUGCAGCAGAUCCCAAGCUUUUGGCAGCAUUAUGGGAAUGACGGUGCCUGGCAAGCUUGCAUUGCAAUGGAAGGGUUCACAUAUAAACUUCACGUGAAUAUAUAUGUGAUAGAUAACAGUGGGCGCUCAAGCAGGCUUGCCUAAUGAUACUAAUCUUCUUAUAAUACUUUUUCUUUUGAAAAGUAAGAGAAAACACUCAUUAUGUACAGGAUAUAGAAAGGGAGAGAAAACACAAAAUCAAUUAGAUAUUCCCCCAUGUAAUCUUUGGUGGACGUUUGGCCAGCUUAGGAAAUCCUUAAAGCAGAAGUCAUUUUGGUCAUCCUCAGAUUUUCCCUUAGGAGUUUUCUUCCUGCAGCCAGCCCUGGCCCCACUUCCUGUGUCCCCUAACCAGGUAUCAGGUAUCAUUUCCAAUGUUUCAUUCCCCUCAUGGGAACCUCAGAUUCCAAAAUUUUCCUUCUUCCCACCUAAACUGCCCUGUGUUUCAUUUCCUCAGAGCUUUGCUCUAUUUUGCUCUGCUCUCUUUAAACUGAAAGACUCUUCCUGACUCAUAUGUAAAUACAAGCUGCCCUCACUUAGCACAGUUCCAACAUGUGUGAAUUUCAGUUACCACUGUAUUAAAUGUGACUAAUUGCAUCAAGUUUAAACCUUGCAACUUGCUCUUUGGCCCAAAGAUCACUACAUAAAUAACAGAUGUGCAUCAUGAUCAGGGUCCAACCAUGUCACUCCCUUCAGAGCCUUCCGGCAACUGGUCCCUGUGCAUCUGUCAACAGUUCACGCACAGACAGCAAAGCAAGUGGUUGUGUAGCCUCCUUGUCUGCCAGUGAUAAAUCCACAUGACACUUCACAAAACUGAAGCUUCAAAAGAGAGAAUAAGCCAACAAAGAUGAAAGUAUAGCAAAUAAACAAAAAAGUGGUAACACUGGAAGUGAAAUUCAAAUUGUUAAGUCUUUGGAGUUGUAGAAGAAAUAGCUGAUUGUGGGAAUACGGACACUGCCCCCACUGGACAGGCUGUAGACAUGCAGCCAGAGGGACAACAGGAAGGUGAACUUACACACAAAAAUUAGGAAAAUGGUUAUGAUGAACAGGAUAAAGAUGCUUCAGGUCAGUGACACCACAGCCACCACCAACAAAAAUUCGUAUUAAAGGAAUUCUAAGAGAUUUUUCACAACAUUGAAAGUUCAAAGGAUAAAAUGUUGGAGGCUGAUCCAAACUCAGAAAGGAGCAUGACAGUCAGCCAAGGCCAGCAAAGAUGCUGGCUCUGUAGAGUAAAUUAUGGCAAGAAGAAGACAGACACUGCUCAGACACUGGCACAGACACUGCUCAGACCCCUCUUCAUAAAUUUUUUUACAAAAAAUAAAAUGCUUUAAUUUCAA